CCUGUCCUUUCUCCUCUCCUCCUUCUUUCCUCCUCCCUAGUUUUUUUUUCUACGCCAGUGAUGAAUAAGAUCCUGCGGUGGAUAAGGCAGACCCGGUCUUUGCAAUCAGAUAGUUGCCAGUGGGGUGAGUUCUCAGAAGGUGAGGCAUACGGCACUCCCUGACUGUGUGUUGGGGAGCCCCUGCUGAAGACAGCUGCAGGAAGCUAGGUGAUGAGCAGGCAAGGCUUGGAGAUAUGGGGAAACCCAGGCAGGAGCACGCUCUCCAGGACCUCGGCUCUGCUAGCAGGCACAUCUCACCCAUAGACUGUUAGUUGAGUGAGAGACGAACCAUGCCUGGCUUUGUUCAUCCACAUAGCCCAGCUCCUAGUGCAGACCAGGUGGAGAUGCUCAGUAGGCACACUACGCUUGAGGUCAAUGAAGAGACAGGAGAGUGGUGGUGACCAUGAGCUGUGGUACUGGCCACACCCAACAUCCCCAGGUUCCUUGGUGGCUGGCAAUUUCCAGCCAAUAACUGGUGCUCCCAAACUCUCGUUGCCUAUAGAUGUCACCUUGAAUGACCUCCAGCUUGUGUUGAGGAGGGGAAGAUUAUUUUAUGCUGGAGAGAGGGCAGUCCAAACAGCUAAAAGCACAGGCCCUGAGCCAUGUGGUGUGGCUCAAGUCCAGGUUCUGCUACUUCCUGUUUGUGAGGCUUUGGCAAGACCUGUAAUCCCACUGAGCCUCAGUUUUCUCCUCUGUAAAAUGCAGAUGAUGAGAAGAGGCUCUGUCUCUCAGAGAUGAGACGAGGAUUAAAUGAGAUGAUGUGUAGCUGGUUUGACACACGCCUACCGUUUUAUACCUAUUUUAACAGGGGUGCUGAUAAAUUUGCCCCAGCCUCCUCUCUCUAGCUCUGGGCCCCAGGGUGUUCUUGCCCUUGUCCUUCUCUGGCCAGCACAGUGAUCUACCUGUCCACGUGUUCUCUCCUUCCUUCCAGCUUGGCUAGGUGGGGAUGCUGGCGAAGAAGCAGAUGGCAGCCGAGACUGAGUGUGACGGUGAUGACACUGUGAAAGGGUGAUAAUUUAUUCUGUUCAGCCUUGACUCGGAGUUGGAAGGAGAAAUCUAUUACUUCUGAAAGGCAAGGCUGAGGGCGACCUCCCUUUCUGACCUCUAACAGGUAGCGGGCCCUGGGUCUCGCUGGAGAUAUGGGGAAACCCAGGCAGGAGCACGCUCUCCAGGACCUCGGCUCUGCUAGCAGGCACAUCUCACCCAUAGACUGUUAGUUGAGUGAGAGACGAACCAUGCCUGGCUUUGUUCAUCCACAUAGCCCAGCUCCUAGUGCAGACCAGGUGGAGAUGCUCAGUAGGCACACUACGCUUGAGGUCAAUGAAGAGACAGGAGAGUGGUGGUGACCAUGAGCUGUGGUACUGGCCACACCCAACAUCCCCAGGUUCCUGGAGAACAGGCCUGGAAGGCCCCCCAGGGGCCCAUCCCUGAGCAGGGACUUACGGCAGGGAUUGGGAAGUGAGGAGCAGGCUGCAGGUUCAGCCCCAGAGAGAGGCGGCUGGGAGGCAGCAGGGCUCUGGCCCCACGCGGCAGGGAUGCCAGGUGCAGGAGCAGUACUCAGUGUCUCUGCCUUGGCCCGGGCACUGGGUUGGGCCCGGCCUGCACGUGGGUCUUUUUCUCUUUCAUCCACUCAUCUUUCUUGUGAGUGGCAGAUGUCUUCCAAGCAGUGGGGAGAAAGAUAUAAAACUAAUCCCCACUCUAAUAAAAACAGUGUCCCGAUUAAAUAUGUAUGAACACAUAUUGAUUUGGGGAUUAAACAGAAAAGAAAAUUGAGCCUGUAAUUGAGCCAGGGAACAUGUACGGGGUGAGACUUGGGAUGUGCUUCUCCAAACACACCUGCUGGGGCUGGGCUGGGGUUGCCCGGGCGUAGGAAAGGUGCUGGGAAGCCUCCAGCACCCACUGGGUGCUCCUCUGCAUGAGGGGCCUGGCCAGCCACUGCCUGCUUUUGGAGGAGCCUCUGCCCUUACUUUUCCUAAUUUGGGGAAAUUCCCAACAUUCCAAAGGAAUCUGGAGGAAUGGGAGGGCUGUACUAUUCCCACAGAUAUCUGAGUUUGAAUCUUUAGCUGGUGGGCAGCCAAAGGGGCAGGCUUCCAUCCUGUCUUAAGGAAACAUGGAUUACUGCUCACCUGCUACAUGCAGGUCCUGAGGAAAUGGAAGAAGCUGAGCCAGGAUUCCGCCUACAAUCUUUGGACUCUAAAUCUAAGGUUGUGUUUACUAUAGGCCAGGGCUGGGCGGUCCAGUGACAUCAGAACCUGCAGUCAUAGGAUUGUGCAUCCUCUAAGCUGCAAGGGCUUUGGCCUUGAAUUCAGCUUGUUGCCUGAAAUGUGUCACCUUCCUUCACUAACAAAAGGAAGCUGGGAGGUGUAGGAUGGAACCAAAGCCUAUCUUCCUACCAUGCCUAUCUGUAGGCUCCACACCUGUCCUUGGUCAGAAAAAGAAAGGAAGGGGAGAAUAGAUUGUUGAGCGCCUGCUGUGCAUAAGGCCCUGUGCUUGGUAGUCUCAGGUAGACUACAACCUUUUAGCAUUCCGAGAAUAGUGUGACAUAGAUCUGAUUAUUUUCACUUUAUAGUGUAGGAAGUAGACUCAGAGAUAUUUGCUAAUCAUCGUAGUCACCAUCACAAUAACGAUGGAAAUCAUUUAUUGAGCACCUGCUGUAUGUCAGGCACUUUACACCCAUUAUUGCCAAUCCCCACCAUGACCCUGUAAAGUAGAUCUAUUACCUCCAUGGUACAGAGAGGAAACCAAGGCUCAGAGGGCAAGAGAUGUGGCCAUUGCAGUGCACAGCCCAGUCACAGCUUGCCUGACCCUGGCCACUUCUUGCAUGGUCCUGGAGGAGUGUGGUUAACUCCCCAGGUUUCCCCUGCCCCAGCCCUGUGUGGUCCAGCCAGAGUGCCUCUCUCUCCCCGAGCUGGGCUCCUGCCUCACAGAUCUCUGCAUGCUUCUUCCCCAGGAAUGUGCAGGUGCCCAUUCAUCAUUUCCCAGCCCACAUCCUCUCCCCCGUUCUUCCCUGAUGCUCCCUAGUCCCCGCCAUGAUGUUUGCUGGAAUCUGACUUUUCCCGCAGGCCCACUUAUCCUCAACGUACACCAAACUUUACAAUUGCCAGAGCAUUUGCACAUUUGUUAUCUCAUUCAAGGUUCACAAUAACCUCAUAUCCUGUAUGACAGAUGAAGAAUCUGAGGCACAGAAAAGUCAGGCAAUUUACCUCAACUCACUGAGCUAAUGAGUAACAAUGGCAGGUCUGUCUUCCCAGGUGAGAUGGCACUUGUCCCCGGAACAGGUGCCUUUGCAGGACCCACGAAGACACAAUGACCCUACGUGAUGAGCUCCUCUUGAACACUUCUCUGGGUCUGGAGCCAGAACCCAUACCAGGAUACCUUUUAGAAGUGCCCCCAGGACUCAAGGUUUGCCCACAUGGCUAAUUGUCAGAGAAACACCUGGCAAGCCUGCUGUAUAUCUCCUUUGGUGUGGCCCUGGGAGAAAAGGAGAAAGGCAUCAGAUAUGAACUGGAGAAAUUGGAGUGCUUGGUAUCCCAUGGCAGUGCCCAGCUCAUCAAGACCCAUGGGGAGUGCUGAGAGCUCACACACUCCCAGCUGCAGCUGUCUCUGCCCUGUGGUUAUUAAAGCAAUGACUUAAUUUUAA